rnacentral:piRNA from 1 species
UGGUGUUAAGAAAUCCAUUUGGAUCAUGUA